rnacentral:rRNA from 1 species
CCUACGGGAGGCAGCAGUGAGGAAUAUUGGUCAAUGGCCGGGAGGCUGAACCAGCCAAGUCGCGUGAGGGAAGACGGCCCUACGGGUUGUAAACCUCUUUUGUCAGGGAGAAAGGUGCAGGUCGGGACCUGCUGUGAGAGUACAUGAAGAAAAAGAAUCGGCUAACUCCGUGCCAGCGGCCGCGGUAAUACGGAGGAUGCGAGCGUUAUCCGGAUUUAUUGGGUUUAAAGGGUGCCCAGGCGGAGGCACAAGUCAGCGGUAACAUCGCGGGGCUCAACCCCGCUCCGCCGUUGAAACUGUGUCCGUUGAGUGCGCGAAGGGUAGGCGGAAUGCGUGGUGUAGCGGUGAAAUGCAUAGAUAUCACGCAGAACUCCGAUCGCGAAGGCAGCCUACCGGCGCGCAACUGACGCUCAUGCACGAAAGCGUGGGUAUCGAACAGGAUUAGAUACCCCAGUAGUC